AUGAUUUUGAAUUUGCAUAGCGGGACUAAAUGGUCGGGCUGGCUACGCCACUGGUUUCAACGAAUCAUAAGACUUGAUCAUAAGAAAAAGGCAGCGUUUCUGGUAAUACUAGUUCGAUGAUCGAACCUUUUAGCUACCCAACGGCCUUGCAGCCUCUCGAAGGCUUUAUAUGUAUUACAGCCUCAUUAUAUUCCCAAUAUUUUUUAUAUCAAAAAGCCUUCAAUUAAUUAGGUAGCUAUCUGCAGGGUGUAGGUAAAAAAAAUCUAACUUAAUUUGCCACGUUUUCGUUAUAAUAAUUAUGUUAUUAUUACAUUAGCGUUAUUGUUAUUGUUAUUUUAUUUCUUUUUUCUUUUUUUUUCUUUACCAAUAAAGAUCAGGCUUUUAGCUGUCGAAUGCUACCUUUCUUUUCAAAUGGUUGUCGUACAAUUGAAUGACUGUUAAAUUAUGGUGAGGGGCAAACCUGUCAGCCUUGGUGUUGGAGACGGUAUGCAUGUCCUCUGCACCAUUUAUUUAACAGGAAAGAAACCACUCGUCUUCAAGAUACGGAAGCCUGACAUGGGCGGUUAUACCUAGUGGCUGCGGAACGGAGGGUGGGAGCUAUAGGCAGGCUAUAACCAUUAUAGAUCAUGCGAUGUUACAUCUUUUUAUGCCAAUAUUAUUUCUUACGAAAAUACAUUAAACAAGAAAUGAUGAGACUUAAGGAAAACGUGUGUUGCAAUACCACGUGACCAGAAAUAGGCAAUAGCUGGUUCUCCUAAUUUUUGAAAACCACAAGGAACUCUGGUAUUUGAAUUCAGC